rnacentral:lncRNA from 1 species
AAUUGAUUAGGGAAGAAGAGGAAUUUGAUUUAGGUUGAGAGUAGUGUUGGGUGUGAAGAUUUUAAGAGCCAAGAGGGAAGGGUUUGUUAUGUGGGAGGUUGGUGAUGCAUGUUGGGCAAUGGAGGUAGAGAAGGGACACUUAGAUAUGAGCUCAGAUAUUAAAUGGUAAUGUUUAAUCAUAAACAUUUAUCAAUUAUCAAAGUCCUUCUUUUGUAGAAGAAAUAGAGAAAACCCCAAGAUCCAAUUUUUGUUGUAUGUUUCUUUUUCUUGGCUUAGCCAAAUUUCUUAACUUUUUCAUGCUAUAUUUAGAUUGACUUCUUAUGGUCUUGAUUUUUUGCUAUUAUUGGAUUUAUCUUUAAGAUGUCAUGAAACUUUAACCAAUUUAUUUUCACAUCUCAAUGAGUUCAACUUAGCUGUAAUUGUACUAACACACCUC